rnacentral:tRNA from 2 species
ACAUUGUUAGUAUAAUAAAUAUCUUACUUUUCCAAAGUAAAGAUCUAGAUAAUCUAGACAAUGUA